GACGAACGCUGGCGGCGUGCCUAAUACAUGCAAGUCGAGCGGACGGAUGGGAGCUUGCUCCCAGACCGUCAGCGGCGGACGGGUGAGUAACACGUGGCCAACCUGCCUGUAAGACUGGGAUAACUCCGGGAAACCGGGGCUAAUACCGGAUAACUCUUUCCCUCACAUGAGGGAAAGCUGAAAGAUGGCAUCUCGCUAUCACUUACAGAUGGGCCCGCGGCGCAUUAGCUAGUUGGUGAGGUAACGGCUCACCAAGGCGACGAUGCGUAGCCGACCUGAGAGGGUGAUCGGCCACACUGGGACUGAGACACGGCCCAGACUCCUACGGGAGGCAGCAGUAGGGAAUCUUCCGCAAUGGACGAAAGUCUGACGGAGCAACGCCGCGUGAGUGAUGAAGGUUUUCGGAUCGUAAAACUCUGUUGUCAGGGAAGAACAAGUACCGGAGUAACUGCCGGUACCUUGACGGUACCUGACCAGAAAGCCACGGCUAACUACGUG
rnacentral:rRNA from 1 species